GAUGAAGAACGCAGCGAAAUGCGAUACUUGGUGUGAAUUGCAGAAUCCCGUGAACCAUCGAGUCUUUGAACGCAAGUUGCGCCCGAAGCCACUAGGCCGAGGGCACGCCUGCCUGGGCGUCACACGCCGUUGCCCCCCCAUCUACUCCUUCGGGAUUGCGGGGGGGCGGAUGAUGGCCUCCCGUGCGCCUAGCCGCGCGGUUGGCAUAAAUACCAAGUCCUCGGCGACGCACGCCACGACAAUCGGUGGUUGCGAAACCUCGGUUGCCCGUCGUGUGCGUUCGUCGCGCAUCGAGGGCUCGAAAAAAUGCUCGGCUCCGGCUGGGCUUUCAAUGCGACCCCAGGUCAGGCGGGGUUACCCGCUGAAUUUAAGCAUAUCAAUAAGCGGAGGA
rnacentral:misc_RNA from 1 species